UACGUAGGUGGCAAGCGUUGUCCGGAUUUACUGGGCGUAAAGGAUGCGUAGGUGGAUAUUUAAGUGGGAUGUGAAAUACCCGAGCUCAACUUGGGUGCUGCAUUCCAAACUGGAUAUCUAGAGUGCAGGAGAGGUAAGUGGAAUUCCUAGUGUAGCGGUGAAAUGCGUAGAGAUUAGGAAGAACACCGGUGGCGAAGGCGGCCUUCUGGACAGUGACUGACGCUGAGACGCGAAAGCGUGGGGAGCAAACAGG
rnacentral:rRNA from 1 species